ACAUAAUCCAAUUACAAGUAGUAUUAAAAUAAAAACUCAUAAAUAAUGGCGGUCUAAUUAAUCUAGAGAAACUCGCUUAAUAAUCGAUAACACCCGUUAAAUUUAACUUAAAUAAUAAAGUAUAUAUACCGCCGUUUCAGACUUUAUAUUAAAAUAAAAUUCUACUAGUUACAACUAACUUUAACAAAAAUCAGGUCAAGGUGUAACUAAUAUUUAAGCAUAAGUAAGUUACAUUAAAACUAAUUUAAGAAUUAAUUUUGAAAAAACAAAUGAAAAAGAAUUUAGCUGUACAUAUUAAUUAAAAUUUAAUAUAAAAGMUAUAUCACAAGACGU
rnacentral:rRNA from 1 species